CACAAUUCUUGGUACCUAACAC
rnacentral:piRNA from 1 species